UACGUAGGUGGCAAGCGUUGUCCGGAUUUAUUGGGUUUAAAGGGUGCGUCGGCGUCCCUGUAAGUCAGUGCUGAAAUAUCCCGGCUUAACCGGGAGGGUGGCAUUGAUACUGCGGGGCUAGAGUACAGAUGAGGUAGGCGGAAUUGACGGUGUAGCGGUGAAAUGCUUAGAUAUCGUCAAGAACACCUAUAGCGAAGGCAGCUUACUAGGCUGUAACUGACGCUGAGGCACGAAAGUGUGGGGAUCAAACAGG
rnacentral:rRNA from 1 species